rnacentral:rRNA from 1 species
UACGUAGGUGGCGAGCGUUGUCCGGAAUUACUGGGUGUAAAGGGCGUGUAGGCGGGGAUGUAAGUCAGAUGUGAAAUCCCAUGGCUCAACUGUGGGGCUGCAUCUGAAACUAUGUCUCUUGAGUGCCGGAGAGGGAAGCGGAAUUCCUAGUGUAGCGGUGAAAUGCGUAGAUAUUAGGAGGAACACCAGUGGCGAAGGCGGCUUUCUGGACGGUAACUGACGCUGAGGCGCGAAAGCGUGGGGAGCAAACAGGAUUAGAUACCCUGGUAGUCCACGCCGUAAACGAUGGAUACUAGGUGUAGGAGGUAUCGACCCCUUCUGUGCCGGAGUUAACACAAUAAGUAUCCCACCUGGGGAGUACGGCCGCAAGGUUGAA